CCUACGGGAGGCAGCAGUGGGGAAUUUUGGACAAUGGGCGCAAGCCUGAUCCAGCAAUGCCGCGUGAGUGAAGAAGGCCUUCGGGUUGUAAAGCUCUUUUGUCAGGGAAGAAACGGUGGUUCCUAAUACGGACUACUAAUGACGGUACCUGAAGAAUAAGCACCGGCUAACUACGUGCCAGCAGCCGCGGUAAUACGUAGGGUGCAAGCGUUAAUCGGAAUUACUGGGCGUAAAGCGUGCGCAGGCGGUUAUAUAAGUCAGAUGUGAAAUCCCCGGGCUCAACCUGGGAACUGCAUUUGAGACUGUAUGGCUAGAGUGUGUCAGAGGGGGGUAGAAUUCCACGUGUAGCAGUGAAAUGCGUAGAUAUGUGGAGGAAUACCGAUGGCGAAGGCAGCCCCCUGGGAUAACACUGACGCUCAUGCACGAAAGCGUGGGGAGCAAACAGGAUUAGAUACCCUGGUAGUCCACGCCCUAAACGAUGUCUACUAGUUGUCGGGACUUAAUUGUCUUGGUAACGCAGCUAACGCGUGAAGUAGACCGCCUGGGGGAGUACGGUCGCAAGAUUAAAACCUCAAAGGAAUUGACGG
rnacentral:rRNA from 1 species